UACGUAGGGUGCGAGCGUUGUCCGGAAUUACUGGGCGUAAAGAGCUCGUAGGUGGUUUGUCGCGUUGUUCGUGAAAACUCACAACUCAAUUUGUGGGCGUGCGGGCGAUACGGGCAGACUAGAGUACUGCAGGGGGAGACUGGAAUUCCUGGUGUAGCGGUGGAAUGCGCAGAUAUCAGGAGGAACACCGGUGGCGAAGGCGGGGUCUCUGGGCAGUAACUGACGCUGGAGGAGCGAAAAGCGUGGGGAGCGAACAGG
rnacentral:rRNA from 1 species